rnacentral:rRNA from 1 species
UACGUAGGGGGCUAGCGUUGUUCGGAAUUACUGGGCGUAAAGCGCACGUAGGCGGCUUUGUAAGUUAGAGGUGAAAGCCCGGGGCUCAACUCCGGAAUUGCCUUUAAAACUGCAUCGCUAGAAUUGUGGAGAGGUAAGUGGAAUUCCGAGUGUAGAGGUGAAAUUCGUAGAUAUUCGGAAGAACACCAGUGGCGAAGGCGACUUACUGGACACAUAUUGACGCUGAGGUGCGAAAGCGUGGGGAGCAAACAGG